AUGGAUCCCGACGCCAAGGAGGGCGGGCCACUACAAGAAGCUGGCCGCAACGGCAGCGCCGAAUGCGGCGUCGCCUCCCCCUUCCGUUGGCUGCGGCGGCUCUCCCGCGAGCUGCACUGGAGCUUUGGCGUGGGCAGCGCCAUCGGGGUGGUUGCCGCCUCGUACUACAGCAAGGACGUGCUGCGCCUGCAGCCGUCCGCGGCGCAGCUCUACCAGGGCAUCGUGGACUCGCCGUGGGUCGUCAAGCCCAUCUGGGGCCUGCUCGCCGACGUCGUGCCCGUCGCCGGGUACCGCCGCCGCCCCUACUUCCUUCUCGCUGGCGUGAUUGGCGCAACAUCUAUGCUUAUGGUUUCCGUGCAAAGCAAUCUGGGGCUCAUACCGGCGGUCCUAGCCUUGACGGCGCAGAGCGCAGGCGCGGCGAUAGCCGACGUGACGCUGGACGCCCUGGUUGCGCAGAACAGCAUAACACACCCGUCACUCGCCGCCGACAUGCAAAGCCUGUGUGGGUUUUGCUCCUCAUUUGGGUCAUUGAUCGGGUUCUCCAUGAGCGGCCUUCUUGUCCACUCCAUGGGCGCCCAGGUGGCUAUUGGCUUGUUGAGCAUCCCCUCGGCACUGGUGUUCUCAGCUGGGAUUCUCCUGAAGGAGAGCAGAGUGACAGACUUCGAUUACAAGCAGGUUCAUAAGAAGUUCUACAAAGCAAUUCAGUCAAUGGGGACAACACUCAAGUGCCCUGAAGUCUGGCGGCCGUGUUUGUACAUAUUUGUUUCCCUCAAUCUAAGCCUGAACAUCCAAGGAGGAAUGUUCUACUGGUACACAGAUCAACUAACUGGACCAGGGUUUUCUGAGGAAUUUAUCGGUGUGAUCUAUGCGGUCGGUGCAGUGGGUUCACUACUCGGGGUUGUCCUAUACCAAAGUGCUCUAAAGGACUAUGAUUUCCGCAGCAUGCUUUUAUGGGGUCAGGUGCUGUCAAGCCUGACAGGGAUGCUUGAUCUAGCGCUGGUGACCCGACUAAACACGAAGGUCGGCAUGCCGGACUACGUUUUCGCGGUGAUCGACUGCGGCGUUUCUCUUUGUCCUCCGGGCAUCGAAGGAACCUUCUAUGCGCUGCUCAUGUCUAUACAAAAUGUGGGGGCGCUUAUGUCUGCGUGGUGGGGUGGCCUACUGCUGCACACGCUGAAUGUGACUCGAUCGGAGUUCAGUAACCUUUGGGCAGUUGUGUUGAUCAGAAACGUCUCAAGGCUGCUUCCGCUGACGCUACUGUUUCUUGUUCCUCAAAGCGACCAGAACUCGACGCUCCUUCCUGCGGAGAUGCUCCACGAUGACGAGUCUACAGAAGCUGUCAAGGAUGGAUCGGGCAGUGCCCAGUUUUCCGUCCUUGUUACAGAUGAUUCAAGUUGUCAUCCUUGCAUUGAGGAUGUUCAAGAUGAGAGAAUCAAAGUGACUGAUGAUGUAGAGCUGAUCCCACUGAUGAACAAGAACAGAACAGUUGGGUGA
rnacentral:rRNA from 1 species